rnacentral:snRNA from 1 species
AUACUUACCUGGCAGAGGAGAUACCAUUAUCAAGAAGGUGGUUCUCCCAGGGCGAGGCUCACCCAUUGCACUCCGGUGUGUUGACCUCUGCCAUUUCCUCAAAUAGGGGAAACUCGACUGUGUAAUUUAUGGUAGUGGGGGACUGCGUGCCCGCUUUCCCCUG